rnacentral:rRNA from 1 species
GAGCACGUAGGUGGGUUUGUAAGUCAGACGUGAAAGCCUUCUGUUCAACGGAAGAAUUGCAUCUGAAACUACAAACCUUGAGUGUAGGAGGGGAGAAUGGAACUUCUGGUGGAGCGGUGAAAUGCGUAGAUAUCAGAAGGAACGCCGGCGGCAAAAGCGAUUCUCUGGCCUAUUACUGACACUCAGUGUGCGAAAGCUAGGGGAGCAAACAGGAUUAGAUACCCCGGUAGUCCUAGCCGUAAACGAUGGGCACUAAGUAGAGGGGGUUUU